rnacentral:lncRNA from 1 species
CCAUUUUUAUAAUUUAUCAUUAUCAAGCAUUUCCUCAACCAUUCCACAACCAUACCAUAAGAUCAUUUACACAAAAUAGGUAUAUUGCUAUACAUGCCAUACUUAAAUUUACAAGCCAUUUACCAAAAGUCUUCCGGAUAGUGUGACUGAGCCUUCGACCUAUCCCGACUCUUGAGCUGGCUUGUCCAAAACUACAAUGAGUAAGAAGGAGGGAGUAAGCAUAAAUGCUUAGUAAGUUCAUAUGCAAAUAAUAAGUAACAUAACAAACAGUUAUACCAAUCAACAUUAGCAUACAUCACUAAAACACAUAUCACAUUUCUGAUCAUUUUUCAUCAUCUUAUUACCUUAUAGUGGUUGUAUCAAUACUCAACCCGAGGGUUAAAUACAUACCUGUCCAAAAUAUCCAUUUCACAUCACUCACCAAUACUUCUCUUUACAUCUCGAAUAUUCCUCCAUUGAGUAGAACUUUACCCAUUGAACACAUCGGAAUAUAAUUCGGAUACAUGGAUAAUUUGCAUAUAAGUGCCACAUAUUCAAUCAAGCAAUCAUGUAACCCGCCCAUAAGCGAACUCGGACUCAACUCAACGAGCUCGGGCGUUCGCAUCCAUAAGUGAACUCGGACUCAACUCAACGAGUUCGGAUGCCUAGUUACAUCUCACGAACUCGGACUCAACUCAACGAGUUCGGACAUUCGCAUCCAUAAGUGAACUCGGACUCAACUCAACGAGUUCGGAUGCUCAACCAUCCUAGUGACAUGUCACUUGUAUCCUAAUCUAUUCCUAAGGUUCAAACGGGCUUUUUCCUCGAAAACUUAUCCUUGCCGUCUUCCGUAGAAUGCCGAAAUCAAUACUCGGUAACAAUUAUAUUUAACAAGUAGUUCACAUAAUUUACAUAUUAUUUGAAAUUAACCACAAAGCAUACAUUUCAUAAUAAAAUUUAGCAUAACAUAUAAUUAACAUCAAUAACUUAAAAAUAACCAUUAUGCUACAUUAUUUACACAUGAACUUACCUUGGUACCAAAAUACAAAGAUUUUGCAAUUUAGUCCACAAUCUUUUCUUUUCCUCGAUUGAGGUCGAUUCCACGUCUUUCUUG